UACGUAGGGUGCGAGCGUUGUCCGGAUUUAUUGGGCGUAAAGAGCUCGUAGGCGGUCUGUCGCGUCUGCUGUGAAAACUCGGGGCUUAACCCCGGGCCUGCAGUGGGUACGGGCAGACUAGAGUGCGGUAGGGGAGACUGGAAUUCCUGGUGUAGCGGUGAAAUGCGCAGAUAUCAGGAGGAACACCGGUGGCGAAGGCGGGUCUCUGGGCCGUAACUGACGCUGAGGAGCGAAAGCAUGGGGAGCGAACAGG
rnacentral:rRNA from 1 species